GGCUACGUAGCUCAGUUGGUUAGAGCACAUCACUCAUAAUGAUGGGGUCACAGGUUCGAAU
rnacentral:tRNA from 1 species